rnacentral:rRNA from 1 species
GUGGGGAAUUUUGCACAAUGGGCGCAAGCCUGAUGCAGCAACGCCGCGUGUGUGAUGAAGGUCUUCGGAUCGUAAAGCACUUUCGACCGGGACGAAACAGCGACACCCAACACGUGUCGCCUUGACGGUACCGGGAGAAGAAGCACCGGCUAACUCUGUGCCAGCAGCCGCGGUAAUACAGAGGGUGCAAGCGUUGUUCGGAAUUAUUGGGCGUAAAGCGCGUGUAGGCGGCUUUGCAAGUCGGGUGUGAAAGCCCUCAGCUCAACUGAGGAAGUGCGCCCGAAACUGCAGAGCUUGAGUACCGGAGAGGAUGGCGGAAUUCCCCAAGUAGAGGUGAAAUUCGUAGAUAUGGGGAGGAACACCGGUGGCGAAGGCGGCCAUCUGGACGGUCACUGACGCUGAGACGCGAAAGCGUGGGUAGCAAACAGGAUUAGAAACCCCUGUAGUCC